rnacentral:hammerhead_ribozyme from 1 species
AUCCAGCUGACGAGUUCCAAAUAGGAUAAAACGCACGUCAAACUGGAU